rnacentral:misc_RNA from 1 species
AAGUCGUAACAAGGUCUCCGUAGGUGAACCUGCGGAGGGAUCAUUACAGAGUUCAUGCCCUACCGGGGGUAGGAAUCCCCCACCCCUAUGUAUAUACUUUUGUUUGGCGGGCCUCAGGCUACCCCGGCUACGCUCACGCUGGUAAGCGCCCGCCAGAGAACCCCAAACCCUGAAUAAUUUAGUGUCGUCUGAGUACUAUAUAAUAGUUAAAA